GCCAGCAGCCGCGKUAAUACGGAGGGUGCAAGCGUUAUCCGGAUUUAUUGGGUUUAAAGGGUCCGUAGGUGGAAUUGUAAGUCAGUGGUGAAAUCUUUCGGCUUAACCGGAAAACUGCCAUUGAUACUGCAGUUCUUGAGUAUGCUCGAGGUAGGCGGAAUAUGUCAUGUAGCGGUGAAAUGCAUAGAUAUGACAUAGAACACCAAUAGCGAAGGCAGCUACCAGAUCAUAACUGACACUGAGGGACGAAAGCGUGGGGAGCGAACAGGAUUAGAUACCCCGGUAGUCCACGCCGUAAACGAUGAUCACUAGACAUUGGCGACAUACUGUCGGUGUCAAAGCGAAAGUAUUAAGUGAUCCACCUGGGGAGUACGCCGGCAACGGUGAAACUCAAAGGAAUUGACGGGGGCCCGCACAAGCGGUGGAGCAUGUGGUUUAAUUCGAUGAUACGCGAGGAACCUUACCUGGGCUUAAAUGCAGAACGACCGAUCCGGAAACGGAUCUUUCUUCGGACGGACUGCAAGGUGCUGCAUGGUUGUCGUCAGCUCGUGCCGUGAGGUGUCGGGUUAAGUCCCAUAACGAGCGCAACCCCUAUCGUUAGUUGCCAGCGGAUAAUGCCGGGGACUCUAACGAAACUGCCCGUGCAAGCGGAGAGGAAGGUGGGGAUGACGUCAAAUCAUCACGGCCCUUACGUCCAGGGCWACACACGUGCUACAAUGGCGCAUACAAAGGGCAGCUACCACGCGAGUGGGUGCUAAUCUCUAAAGUGCGUCUCAGUUCGGAUUGAAGUCURCAACUCGACUUCAUGAAGCUGGAAUCGCUAGUAAUCGCGCAUCAGCCAUGGCGCGGUGAAUACGUUCCCGGGCCUUGUACUCACCGCCCGUC
rnacentral:rRNA from 1 species